ACAGUUAUUGAAGUGUGGGCAUGCACCAUAGCAGCUAUAGGGGCGAGGCCAUGCACCGUAGGUGUCUCGUUGUAGUAGUUUUCAACUUUGUCUAGCAGCAAAGAUUACAUCUCCAAGUGUCAUCAUGCAUACUGGAGAAUGAUGGUUGCAAAGAUUGAUAAAUUACCCAAUGAAAUGUGCUCCAAAGUUAGCUGCUAGUAUGGGUACUUUACAUACUUAGUUAAUAGACCAGCUCAUAAUGCUUUUAAGUAGACAAUUUUAAAACUAUCAUUGUGUUUUAAACUAGCAGAGAAGGACCCAAGUACUGAAGCCAACGGUUACGCUAAAGCUGGUAAGGACAUCAAUUAUGCCACUCCAAUGUAAAACUGAAGAGGAGAUGCAUAAAACCUUUAACCUACAGAUACAUGUACUUAAAUUAUUAUACUUAGGAACUUCCAUUGAUUUUUUAAAUAAUUAGUCUUUAACAUUAAUUUAAUGUAUAGUUGCAGCAAAGAUCAAAGGCCUAACAGUUGUGAUAAAACCCA